rnacentral:rRNA from 1 species
AGAGUUUGAUCCUGGCUCAGGAUGAACGCUAGCUACAGGCUUAACACAUGCAAGUCGAGGGGCAGCAUGUUGGUUGCUUGCAACCAAUGAUGGCGACCGGCGCACGGGUGAGUAACGCGUAUCCAACCUACCCUUGUCCAUCGGAUAACCCGUCGAAAGGCGGCCUAACACGAUAUGCGGUUCACAGCAGGCAUCUAACGUGAACGAAAUGUGAAGGAGAAGGAUGGGGAUGCGUCUGAUUAGCUUGUUGGCGGGGUAACGGCCCACCAAGGCUACGAUCAGUAGGGGUUCUGAGAGGAAGGUCCCCCACAUUGGAACUGAGACACGGUCCAAACUCCUACGGGAGGCAGCAGUGAGGAAUAUUGGUCAAUGGACGAGAGUCUGAACCAGCCAAGUAGCGUGCAGGAUGACGGCCCUAUGGGUUGUAAACUGCUUUUAUAGGGGGAUAAAGUGUGCCACGUGUGGCAUAUUGCAGGUACCCUAUGAAUAAGGACCGGCUAAUUCCGUGCCAGCAGCCGCGGUAAUACGGAAGGUCCGGGCGUUAUCCGGAUUUAUUGGGUUUAAAGGGAGCGUAGGCCGUUUGGUAAGCGUGUUGUGAAAUGUCGGGGCUCAACCUGGGCAUUGCAGCGCGAACUGCCAGACUUGAGUGCGCAGGAAGUAGGCGGAAUUCGUCGUGUAGCGGUGAAAUGCUUAGAUAUGACGAAGAACUCCGAUUGCGAAGGCAGCCUGCUGUAGCGCAACUGACGCUGAAGCUCGAAAGCGUGGGUAUCGAACAGGAUUAGAUACCCUGGUAGUCCACGCGGUAAACGAUGGAUGCUCGCUGUUUGCGUCUGACGUAAGCGGCCAAGCGAAAGCGUUAAGCAUCCCACCUGGGGAGUACGCCGGCAACGGUGAAACUCAAAGGAAUUGACGGGGGCCCGCACAAGCGGAGGA